ensembl:lncRNA
AUGAGACCAUGUGACUAUGUGACUAUGUGACUAGGUGCUUCAGGGGGUUACAGAUGAGACUAUGUGACUAGGUGCUUCAGGGGGGUACAGAUGAGACUAUGUGACUAUGUGACUAGGUACUUCAGGGAGGUACAGAUGAGACUAUGUGACUAGGUGCUUCAGGGGGGUACAGAUGUGACCAUGUGACUAUGUGACUAUGUGUUUCAGGGAGGUACAGAUGAGACUAUGUGACUAUGUGACUAUGUGACUAUGUGUUUCAGGGGGGUACAGAUGAGACUAUGUGAUUAUGUGACUAUGUGACUAGGUGCUUCAGGGGGUUACAGAUGAGACUAUGUGACUAGGUGCUUCAGGGGGGUACAGAUGAUACUAUGUGACUAUGUGACUAUGUGACUAGGUGCUUUAGGGGGUUACAGAUGAGACUAUGUGACUAGGUGCUUCAGGGGGUUACAGAUGAGACUAUGUGACUAGGUGCUUCAGG